GGGCGUGUAGUAUAGUUGGUUAUUGCGCCCGCUUCGCAUUGUCUCGCAAGAUCACUCGAUUGCGGGAGGUCUGGAGUUCGACUCUCCACUCGUCCA